CUCACCAUAGCUCAGUUGGUAGAGCGUGAGACUGUAAUUGGAUAAUCAUCUCAAGGUCACUAGUUCGAUCCUGGUUGGUGAGA
rnacentral:tRNA from 2 species